ensembl:lncRNA
UGACAAAGGAGAUGGGCCACUUUGAAAUUACCAGUAAGCAGAAUAUUUGGAGUGAAUCUCUUCUGCACAGCUGGGAAGGCAUUGAGACACAAGAAGACCAACUGAACUGCUGUAUGAUACCGCAUUAUCCAAGUCAGUCUAACAGGGAGACCGUGGGAAUGGAUGGACCUCAUGCUGGAUGCCUACAUGGAUGUGGGGGUUCCAGGCCCUUUUGGGAAGUGCAAUGCUGCAAAGGAUUUAGUACAUCACUGAAGUCAAACAUGGCUACGAAUCAGAUUCACUGCGUGUGACAGAAGACGAGUAAGCUAAGCUCUGUUUCGGUGCUCUUGGAUGAGGUGACAUCACUUAUGUACUAUCUGAACCAUCUGAAACGUCUCUAAUAAUGAUAAAAGCAUUUUAGGCUGGAAAAGAUCCUGAAGAUCAUUGGGUCCAGUCAUCCACCUAACUACCAAGUCCAGCACUUAACAGAAGGUAAAUUUCUAUGUCCAUUUAGAUACAGACUGAUUUGCAUGUAAUUGCCACUGAUGCGGUGGGAUGCACUGGGUUAAGACCAGGUUAGAAACUUGACAAAAUGUGUGGCAAAUUGUUUGGACUAUAGCAAAAGGUGUAAGCUGUUGGGAGCUUUGCCCAUGUUUCAUCUGCAACAGGCUGAGGUUCUCCAUCCUCUAACCUGUACUACAAGUUAUCUGUCCCAAUAAAUGAACAUUUUGAUUUCCUGAAAAAAAAAAAAGCCAGUAACAAUGAAUCCCGUUUCAGCUGAAGAAUUGAGUAAUUUCCCCAAAAUCUUGAAAGCAGAAACUUAUCAACACAACGCCCUGCCAUGUCCACAAUUUGAAAGGCCCCUGCCUGAUCUGGCAAAGCUGAUGAUUUCAGAGGAGCUCUAUUGCUUGGAGUAGCUCCAUUUUGAAGCAUCCACUUUGAGGUACAGUAAGCCUCAUCCUAUGAGCACACAGUGAUCAUGGAUCAAGCUGAAGUCACAGCGAGGAGAAAAUGGCCAUCAGUUUCAAAAACUCAGGUGUGAACAACUCGAACAGAUGUUUCUAAAACAUCAUUCUGAAAAUCUGGAACUCUUUGCACAGGAGAACUGAAUGGUCACCACGCAGGACAUGAAGUUAUUCCCACUCAAUCCAGCCAGAAUCUCACAGUGAUGCAAAUUUAUUUGUUAAGGCUGGGUGCUCAUCCAAGUUGGGUCAGCAUCAGUUUGCACAAUAUGGGGAUCUACUACUUGACCAUUAGGCAUUGCCUCUUUCCACUCUGACACAGUUUCUUCCUGGGAGAACAAGGGGAUUUACUAUCUCGGGAUUUCUGAGGACUGGAGCUGGCUGAGCAUUCCUCAUGGCCCUGAGUUAUAUGGGAAUUUAGCAAGCCUCUCUUCUCAGGCAGCAGAUCCCUCAUCUCAAGAAAUCUCUUGAUUAAACUGUCAAGCUCUGCGACGGGCAGCUGAAGGGAGCAACAGAUUUUGAAGAAAUAUUUUUGAUUAUUCCCAGCAUGGACAGAACGAUGACAUACAGAGGGUCUAGCAAACUUGCCUGGCAGGCAGUUGUGGCUUUGUAUGUAAAUAUAAACAUAUAUUUACAUAUUUCCUAACAUCUGUUUUGAAUUUGUGUUCCCUUUAGUUCUAUUUAAAGUACAUCUUGUCCUAUUAUCUCUGAGGCUGAAAUUUGGAGGGCUCUGCUAAUAAACUCUAACACUGCAAAGCAACAAGACACAUUCUCCUCCUCCCUGUCUUUCCAACCAGUUCUUUUACAGCUGUUCCUCACUUGUAUUCCAUAGUGCAACAGCAUCACCCAGCCUGUGGAAGGAGCACGGUUUCCUAAGCAGAUUCAAAUCUGGGAGUGUACUGUGAGAAAUGGUGCUCAAUGUCAAAA